AGCAGUAGCCGCGGGAAUACGUAGGGUGCAAGCGUUAAUCGGAAUUACUGGGCGUAAAGCGUGCGCAGGCGGUUAUAUAAGACAGAUGUGAAAUCCCCGGGCUCAACCUGGGAACUGCAUUUGUGACUGUAUAGCUAGAGUACGGCAGAGGGGGAUGGAAUUCCGCGUGUAGCAGUGAAAUGCGUAGAUAUGCGGAGGAACACCGAUGGCGAAGGCAAUCCCCUGGGCCUGUACUGACGCUCAUGCACGAGAGCGUGGGGAGCAAACAGGAUUAGAUACCCCAGUAGUCCCUGUCUCUUAUAU
rnacentral:rRNA from 1 species